rnacentral:rRNA from 1 species
UACGUAGGGACCGAGCGUUGUCCGGAUUCAUUGGGCGUAAAGAGCUCGUAGGCGGCCACUCAAGUCGAAUGUGAAACCUCGAGGCUUAACCUCGAGCCUGCAUUCGAUACUGGGCGGCUAGAGUCUGGUAGGGGGAUCUGGAAUUCCUGGUGUAGCGGUGGAAUGCGCAGAUAUCAGGAGGAACACCUGCGGCGAAGGCGGGUUGCUGGGCUGACACUGACGCUGAGGCGCGAAAGCUAGGGGAGCGAACAGG